CUCAGGCUGGCACAGAUUCAAAGACACACAAAGAAUCGGGUACAUUAGUCUAUGACAGGUAUGAAUGGCCUAAAUAAACAGCGAAGAGUUCCGAGCAAGUCCUCUGAUAUGUCUCAUUCGUUUGGUCUGGGAGCCCAAUGACAGCUUGAUUUGGCUUUAGAUUGCCAUGAACCAUUUGUCAGGGCUUUUCGUGUGGGCUGUCAGACCAACUGACUGGCAAGCAGAUUGAUUGUCCUCCGCGUGUCAGUGCCUGCAUCUGACACACUUGCGCGGCGAACUGGCAGACUUGAGCUCGGAGAUGCCUGCUGGAAAUUUAGACGUAUGAAGAAUAGACCCGGGGCAGAUAUUUGUGUGAGCGCUAAUAGAAUGUGAAGGGAGAGCCAGAUAUUUGCAGUGAUACGAGAUUUCUCCAGGGGAGAGGUGUGUAUGUGUGUUCGCCCGAACACAUGGUGAAAUGGAGGCCCAGCAGUGAGUGGAACAGUAUGAGGGUGGACUCUGUACGCCUCUUGCCCAGCCAAAGAUACAGCACACGUUCCACUCAAUCCCGUCAUGACCUCAGCCAGCACUGGGAGACAAACACCCGUGAUCUGCGCUAUUCCUGAAGGAAAACUCACCACUCCGGGCAUGCAACGAAUGACUCAGCACUCCGCCUCAAACGUGAUGGUCAACCUGGAGCACUCCGGUCUUGAUGACAUCACUGCGAAGGUCAGUUCCCACCCCGCCAUGGGCUGCGGCGUUAAUCAGAGUCAGAUUGAGCAGGGAGGGGAGAGGACAAACACUCUACGAUUUCAGCUGUACAUGCUAUGACAGAACCAUUUCCAUGGAGAAAUAUCCCCAAACUCGAGCCCAGGUCAACAAUUCCCAGACAAUUAAUGGGUACUAGUGCAAUUAAUAUUCUGGGAAUUUUUGCACCAUUGUUAUUCGUUUCGUUGUGAACAGACUGACUUCAGUGUACAGCCUAAAAUAACAUUGUUACAUGCAAAAGCAUUUAUACUGUACAUAAACAAUCACUAAUAUUAUUUUGUGUUUUUGAAAGAAGUC
ensembl:lncRNA